GACAGAGGGGGCAAGCGUUGCUCGGAAUUACUGGGCGUAAAGGGCGCGUAGGCGGGAUGGCAAGUCGGUCGUGAAAUCCCUCGGCUCAACUGAGGAUCGUCGAUCGAUACUGCCGUUCUUGAGGAUUGCAGAGGAGACUGGAAUUCCCGGUGUAGCGGUGAAAUGUGUAGAGAUCGGGAGGAACACCGGUGGCGAAGGCGGGUCUCUGGGCAAUUCCUGACGCUGAGGCGCGAAAGCGUGGGGAGCGAACCGG
rnacentral:rRNA from 1 species